rnacentral:misc_RNA from 1 species
UUCAACUUCAUCAUCUAUUAAACGCUGUUCAAAAAAUAAGGCACAGGCAUAAAUAAUAAGACUAGUUAAAAACUUAAGAUGUAAAAAUCCAGCAGCACGUCAUCACAAAGUAUACCAUCAUCAUGAAAAAUACUAAUAAUUCUUCCUUUUUUUCCUUUUCACACAAGUGCUAGGGUGAAUGUCACUCAAGACAGGUGCAGCAUUGCCAUACAUAGCAGUGUCAAACAGGCUUAUAAUUUUUUCG